rnacentral:lncRNA from 1 species
CCUUGCAUUAUAUAAGUAAUGAAAAAAUACGUCAUAUUUAUCUAUUAUAAUGAUAGUAUGUAAUGUAGAAUUUGGAAAAACAUGGUUUCACUCUGAACUAAUCUCUGGAUACGGUCUGAGACAUUUGCACUGGCGAGCGGCGUUCUUGCCAACUAUAUGGCUGUUAAGUUGAAAAUUGUAACUGUUAAGAGCAUUCUAUUGUGGUUUUAAUAUUGAACAAUU